GACGAACGCUGGCGGCGUGCUUAACACAUGCAAGUCGAACGGAAAGGCCCUGCUUUUGUGGGGUGCUCGAGUGGCGAACGGGUGAGUAACACGUGAGUAACCUGCCCUUGACUUUGGGAUAUCUUCAGGAAACUGGGGCUAAUACCGGAUAGGAGCUCCUGCUGCAUGGCGGGGGUUGGAAAGUUUCGGCGGUUGGGGAUGGACUCGCGGCUUAUCAGCUUGUUGGUGGGGUAGUGGCUUACCAAGGCUUUGACGGGUAGCCGGCCUGAGAGGGUGACCGGCCACAUUGGGACUGAGAUACGGCCCAGACUCCUACGGGAGGCAGCAGUGGGGAAUAUUGCACAAUGGGCGGAAGCCUGAUGCAGCAACGCCGCGUGCGGGAUGACGGCCUUCGGGUUGUAAACCGCUUUCGCCUGUGACGAAGCGUGAGUGACGGUAAUGGGUAAAGAAGCACCGGCUAACUACGUG
rnacentral:rRNA from 1 species